UAAUUAUCAUUACAAUACAAUCAAAAUCAUAGACUCCUAAAUUUUGCCAACAACCAAAACAAACGAACAUUGAUGGGCUGCUGAAAUAGAAAUUUUAUUAAAAAAGAAAGAAAAAAACAGAGGGAAAAAGGACUAAAAAACCCUUGAAAGCACAAACGCUAACAAAGGGCGAAUCUCAAAGGAUCCGUCAAAAAGCAAAAAUAAAAACCACGUGAAAACACUCGCAAAGGACCAUGGGAAGUCGAAACAAAGAAAACGAAAACUAAGAGGAGGCGUCCUCGUCUUCAUCACCCUCGUCGUCCAACAUAUCUCCC
rnacentral:lncRNA from 1 species